UACGGGGGGAGCAAGCGUUGUUCGGAUUCAUUGGGCGUAAAGGGUGCGUAGGCGGCCAACUAAGUCGGAUGUGAAAUCCCCAGGCUUAACCUGGGAACUGCAUCCGAUACUGGAUGGCUUGAAUUCGGGAGAGGGAUGCAGAAUUCCAGGUGUAGCGGUGAAAUGCGUAGAUAUCUGGAGGAAUACCGGUGGCGAAGGCGGCAUCCUGGACCGAUAUUGACGCUGAUGAGCGAAAGCUAGGGGAGCAAACGGG
rnacentral:rRNA from 1 species